GUUAGGAAUAUUGCACAAUGGGCGAAAGCCUGAUGCAGCGACGCCGCGUGAGUGAAGAAGGCCUUCGGGUUGUAAAGCUCUUUUAGCAGGGAAAACAAAAAUGAUGGUACCUGCAGAAAAAGCACCGGCUAACCCUGUGCCAGCAGCCGCGGUAAUACAGGGGGUGCAAGCGUUACUCGGAAUUACUGGGCGUAAAGCGCGUGUAGGUGGUCUCAUAAGUCUGGUGUGAAAUCCCGGGGCUCAACCCCGGAAGUGCAUUGGAUACUGCGAGACUAGAGUGCAGGAGAGGAUGGUGGAAUUCCAGGUGUAGAGGUGAAAUUCGUAGAUAUCUGGAGGAACAUCGGAGGCGAAGGCGACCAUCUGGACUGCAACUGACACUGAGACGCGAAAGCGUGGGGAGCAAACAGGAUUAGAAACCCGGGUAGUCC
rnacentral:rRNA from 1 species